UGUCUACGCUGCCUUACCAUGCAAGUCGAACGGCAGCGCGGGAGCAAUCCUGGCGGCGAGUGGCGAACGGGUGAGUAAUACAUCGGAACGUGCCCAAUCGUGGGGGAUAACGCAGCGAAAGCUGUGCUAAUACCGCAUACGAUCUACGGAUGAAAGCAGGGGAUCGCAAGACCUUGCGCGAAUGGAGCGGCCGAUGGCAGAUUAGGUAGUUGGUGAGGUAAAGGCUCACCAAGCCUUCGAUCUGUAGCUGGUCUGAGAGGACGACCAGCCACACUGGGACUGAGACACGGCCCAGACUCCUACGGGAGGCAGCAGUGGGGAAUUUUGGACAAUGGGCGAAAGCCUGAUCCAGCCAUGCCGCGUGCAGGAUGAAGGCCUUCGGGUUGUAAACUGCUUUUGUACGGAACGAAACGGCCUUUUCUAAUAAAGAGGGCUAAUGACGGUACCGUAAGAAUAAGCACCGGCUAACUACGUGCCAGCAGCCGCGGUAAUACGUAGGGUGCAAGCGUUAAUCGGAAUUACUGGGCGUAAAGCGUGCGCAGGCGGUAAUGUAAGACAGUUGUGAAAUCCCCGGGCUCAACCUGGGAACUGCAUCUGUGACUGCAUUGCUGGAGUAC
rnacentral:rRNA from 1 species